rnacentral:sRNA from 1 species
ACCGUGUGUAUGACUGUGAUGCACCAUGAUUUGCAGGCAGAAGACAAGGCAGAUGUGUUGAAUAAGGAGCUCCUCUUGACCAAACAGAGGCUGGUGGAGACUGAAGACGAGAAGAGGAAGCAAGAGGAAGAGACUGCCCAGCUAAAAGAAGUAUUCAGGAAACAGCUAGAGAAGGCAGAAUAUGAAAUAAAGAAGACUACAGCUAUCAUUGCUGAGUAUAAACAGAUCUGUUCGCAGUUGAGUACCAGGCUGGAGAAACAGCAAGCAGCCAGCAAGGAGGAGCUGGAAGUGGUAAAGGGUAAGAUGAUGGCAUGCAAACACUGCAGUGACAUUUUCAGCAAGGAGGGUGCUUUGAAACUAGCAGCCACAAGCAGAGAGGACCAGGGAAUUGAAACGGAUGAUGAGAAGGACUCACUUAAGAAGCAGCUGAGAGAGAUGGAACUGGAACUGGCACAAACCAAACU